UUUUUUGUUUGUUUUUGAGGGAGAGAAUUAGGUUGUGACUACCAUUUGUGGCAUUUUUUGCACAGGGAGUUGAUGGUGAAUGCAUGUCAUAGCAGCAGCAGCUCCUGCCGUUUUGAUGAGAGCUUGUACUUCGCUUGUGCAAAUGUUGAGAAUGGCGUGUUAAUGAAGAGGCUUUCACACGCUUUGAGGCGAAAGCUCCGUCUCCAUCCUGUAGCCACGUGUUCUAAAUUCCAGCUUUCUGUCUGAUCACCAGUGGCCCAAGGCCUCUCUGGAAGGCCUCUUGAUUCUACAGGAAUAAGAUGGGAUUUGGAAAUUAGUUUUAAAUAGCUGUUUGCCACUGGUAUCAAAUGUUUAGAACAGAUGAUGAUUUUAGAAAGUUCCAGGGAGAGUGGAAUCCUAUGGACAUCUCAUCAAAAUUAACCCAACCUCUGACUGGGCUAGGUUAAUAUGAUGUUUAAUUUAUAGUUUGGGUUUUUUUGGGGUUUGUUUGUUUGUUUGGGUUUUUUGUUUUGUGGUUUUUAAUUUGUUUUGGUUUUGUUAGUUUGGUUGUUUUUAUAGCAAAGACAUACAAGGGAUCCUUGUUAAGGAUGAAAAAGUGAAGUAGAAAACAGAACUGAUGGAGUGUAUUUAACAUGUAAAAUGGUUUUUCCAAUCAAAUUUUAUGUCUUCUAAUAAUUAGGUUAUUUAAAUCAAUUUACCAAGUGUUUACCUUUUCCAGAUGUUAAUGUUAGAAUCCAAAGUAGACUGCUGCACUGGAUUUACAUGGUACCCAGAGCUGGUUUAGGUCACAGGCUUCUUCUCUAUUUUUUAUUGCUUGAUCUAUACUAUGUGCUGACACCAUGAAGAAAGAAAACCAGCAGUGGGUAUUUGCCAUCUUUGUUCCUCUGAGGAGAACUACUGCUCCAUAAAACUCCCCAGCCAUCAGCGCCUCACAUCAAUGCUAAGUGCUGCAUUUGCAUCUCACUGCAGCAAGUGUGCUCCGACAGUUCUGGUGCAGUUCUGGAGUACGUUUUGUCCGUUGCAGCGUUUGUUCUCACUAUGCUAGAAGUAACUGCCUGCUUAAUGCAGGCACUUGAUUUGAGAGUAAUUUUCCAAAUCCUUCUCAAUCUUCCCUCUGCCAGGUGAAAAUAAUAUAUUUAAAUAAUGUAAGAAAUACAUAAGGAAUUUACUUCAUUGAGUUUAUCAUUCUGAGGUAUUUCUCACAAAGCUAAUGGGUAAGGGGUUAUAAAAAUAAAAGUGCAAUUCCUUCCUUUUUUAUCCUCCACAGAAUUACAGUAUCAUUUGGUGGUUGGUCAUUUGAAAAGGCAGCCAAAAAAACCUCAAGCAUUCAAAAAUGUUUGAAUCAAAGGAAACAAAGAGGACGAAUGCUAAACAUCUGUGUCUCCUUCUCUGAUAGUCUUAGCCACGCAACUGUUGUGGACUGUGAAUCAGUUCUGACCCUCAAGGAGGAUCAAAUCGUUUAUGAAGUGAGAGGAAGGAUACAUUUACAAGGCCUGAAACCUAAAAGCCGUUCUUCAGAAAUUUAAGGCUUGUGUGUCUUUGCACAAGACUGAUGUCAAGGAUACUUAUGUCACGCUUUGUGAUUGGUGUCCCCUGUUGGUGUGGCGGUGGACUUAGCAAAUGGGACACUCUCAGCCCUGGCAAAUUGCUGCCUCUGUUAAAGCUUGAUCAACAUGUAGUUAUAUCAACAUGAGAAGAAUGUGAGGUGGUUGGGUUGCAAUUUCUUUUCCAGUGGAGGCCACGUGUACGAAGUGCGUGGAUCACAGCAUGCCGCGCAUCGGGUGUCUCUGACAGCUGGCGACGCACUUGCAAUGCUUGCAUAGCACCAAUAUUUCCAAAUGCGAGAGAGAGCCCAAAGAUUUCAAAGGUUUCAUAAGGAGGUAUCUGUUGAGUCAGAGAGAACAACUUUCCUGAGGUGACAGCCUGCACAGCAGUGGAAGGUCACAUUUUUGCAUCCAUUCUCUUCCACUAUAGAGAUACACGAAUCUUGGUAGAAGACUGACACCUGUCUGCAGGAUGAGACCAGGUACCAAUUUCCGACUUCUUUCAGUGGUUUUUAAAGGCUUUCCUCCAGAUAACUAGGCUACUGUAUUUACUAUGCCAUGAAAGAAUUUUUACCAGUACAGUUUAUAAUGCAGUUGGAGAUACUGGAUUACUUGGCAUUUCAGUGCUGUGCAUGAUGAGAGAUUAGAGGUAUAGGGGGUAGAUGAUGCAGUUCUUUAUUGUGUUAAAGAUGAUUUCCAUGCAAUGUAUUUUGCACUAUAAAAAUACUAAUGGGUGCAGGUAAAACAUGAUUAGCAAUUAUAAAUAACAUUUUCAAAAUCAAAUAAAACCCUCAUCUAUUAAAUCAAUAAGCAGUGACUUGAAUUAUCUGAUUCUGAGGAUUAGUUCUGUAAGCCAGCUUACUGUUCUGAUCUGUAGAGAAAAAGGAAACUCAAAUGCUGUAUUAAGAUAUGUUCCUCUCUGAGCAAUAAACUUGAGUGCGUCAGAAAAUCAAGUCUGACCUGAGGUUUUUGAAGCUUUUGAUCUGUUAGGUUCUGAUGGCAAAAAAAUCCCUUAUUUAAUUUAGGAAGCAAAUUCUACAUGUUCCAAUAAUUCUUUAAUUGAAAUACAACUGAGUACAAAAUGUGAAUUUAUUUCAGUAGCAGGAAAAUUAACCAGAAAACCUUCUUGGCAUAUGAAUAUGAGCAACCUUUUCCAGUAAAGAUAUUUCCUUUAAAUCAUGGGAUAACAUGCAAUUAUUAUAAGAGUUUGGCCAGAUGUUUGUUUUGAAAAGGGCUAUUUGUUCUUAAACUGAGACAUGAGACCAGCUCUGUUGUUAGAAAAUAACCUCCGAGUGAAUGAGGUGAGUUAUUUCAGCAGACAGAGAGCAGAUGCACCGCAGAUGAAAUCAUUGCCCUGCACAAAAACUAAGCAAUGUUAUAUGAUAUGCAACACAUUGUCCUGGGACUCGUACAGUAUGAGGGGGCUCUUGCAUUACUUGUAACUUCUCAGGUCCACUCUGGAUGUAGACACUGAUGAAUAGUUUCCUACUAAAAAGACUUAGAUGCAAAAAAAUUGAGGUGACUGAAUAUCUAACUUUAGAUAAGCAUGAAUAUUACUGAAAGCAAACAUGUAAAUAUGCAUUUGUGUAUUCCAAAGUACAUUUGCAUAUUGUUUUGGUUAUGUUUAAAGGAAAAAUAAAAUGCAAAUAUAACGCAAAUUCUAUAUUUCUUUCAAAUGCCUAUAGAGUCCUUAGCAGUGAAGUAUUGUAUUCUAGCUGUGACCUCUGCUCAGUAAAAUCUGUUUCCUGUUGUCUUUCUGCGCUGUGAUGGCUCUUCUACAUGAUGCUGAGGCUUUGUGUUCAGUCAAGGUAUCAGAGUCUUGAAAAAUGUCUUGAUAUUUUCUGUUCAAAAAAUAACUGUAGCUAGUUAAACUAUGAAGCUUUGUAAACCUUGUUGGCUUUACCUGUGGAGUAGUGAUUUACUUCACAUGAACAUCAGAAUUCUAAGAAGGACGGAGUUGCACACUCUGGAUGUUGAUCACUUUACUGAUUACUAGCUACUGGAAAAAUUAAGGCCGGAGAUGAACUCCUCCAUUACAACCUUCUAUGACAUUCUGCUGGAGGCAGAGAGCUCAUGGACCGGAUGAUAACAGCAUAAAGAAGAUACCCUUCAUACUGAUGUGUUAGUUUUUCACAUUUCCUCUUCUAGAACAAUUUGAAGGUCAUAAAAAUACAAGUAGACAAGCGCUAGAAAAUUCUAAUUAGGACCUCACCAAUUAUUAUUUCCUGUUUACUUAUAUAGGUAUUGCAUACAUAUGAGGACCAGGAAGAAAUUUAGCUCUAAUAGAAAGCCUUGGAUUUUUUUCUAAAAUUAAUCAAAAUUAUUUGACAGAUGUCUGGAGGAAGCUAAAAGAUAAACCCUGUUGUUGUGACUCUGUGAUCAUGCCUCUUUAAAAAAAUUAUUUUCUCCUAGCAGAGUGGUUCACUGAGAUCUCAAAGCCUUGCACUCAGUAUGUCCCAGCAGAAACAAUUUACAGAGGCCUCCCUAUUUUGGAGAGGUCUGUAAGUGCCACACAGAGCUGAACUUUUCUGUGAAACAUCAUAAAAGGUGUAUUCUCUUUCUUUUCUGUGCUUUCUACCUCCAAGAAAGAACCUGUAAAUGAGGACAAAAUCUCAUAUUUUGUGAAUUUUUGUUAAUGACUCUACUUAAGAAAUGUAAUAAGGGCAGACAGCCAUUCAGUCUCUACAGAGGAAGAAUAAAAACAAAGUCUGAAUUAUACCUUACAUCAUUAAAAAAUGGACUUGCUGGAUUAUAGGGCAAAAAGCAGCAUUCAGCUUCCAUGCUGGUAUCUUGAUGUUAUUUUUCCUUCAAAAGUGCUAGCAAGUUUGUGGUCUGGUCAUUUGCUCUGUUUUACAAAACCCACUGCUGCAAGUGUUUGCCAGAGAGCAAAUGAAGGGUGACAGAGACUUAGCCACGCUCUGUGGGGCAGGUUUGGGGCCACACACAGACCCUAGUAUGACCUAUCCUUGCAAUCUCAACAGACGAAAACACUGCAUGAAAACACAAUAUCAAUCAGAAAACAAAUCAAAUUAGAAACACCUUAUAUUUACUGGAAAUAAUUGUGUACCUUUUAUAUGGGAUUGGAUUGAAAUUUGAGACAUAAAUUAUUCACAGAAUAUAAAAUUACAUAUUUCAAAUAAUCUGGAAGGCAAUUAUUAUCACAUAAAAUAUUUGUAUAAUAAUAGUAAUUGCAUAUGAUCUUGCAAAGCGUUCAAUCAUUCAAAGUGUUGAAUAGUAUGCGUCCAUCGAACAAAAUAUUUCAGGACAGGUUUAGCUUUACACAAGUAAGCAGUCCAAUUGACCUCACUAAGGCCACUCAUCUACUUAAAUGUCAAUAUGUAUCUAAGUGCUUUCCUGGAUUAGGGCCAGAACGUUUUGUCUUUUGUAAGACAAGGUCCUGAGAAGACCUGUUGCAAAUGGCUGUAGUCUGCAGUGUCCCGGAAGGGCGAAGCAAAAUAAAAAAGGGCAGUAUCACAUUAUAACUUAGCUGCUCAUUUAUUUAAGGAAUGUAGUUUAUCAUUAAUGAUUGGCAUUAUUGCAGACAGGAUUAUUGCUAUUUAAAGGCAGCAAUAGUAGGAAAUAUGACCAGGUAUUUGAAACAUGGAAUAGGCCUGAAAAGCAAGGGACUGUGACAGAUAGUGGCUAUCUUAUCAGUGACUCAGAGUUAUGGGGCUCUCUGGACAACUUUCUGCAUCAUCAUUUCCAUCAAUAGUAGGGGACUAAUUUGUGCAUGACUGGUUCUGCAGUCCCAGCAAUGGAGCUUCAAAACCAGCUUGCCUGAGGGUGGAGUACACUCCCUCUGGAUCCUUAUCUCUCGGGAAAGUCUGAAGUCCAUGAAUUGUUGUCCAUGAAGGUCCAUUGUAGAGGAUUGCUCUUAAUCCCAUUAAAAAAUGAAAAAAAUCGGUGAUUGUCUUUUCCUAGAUGAAAGUGAAUGUAAGGUAAGCUCAAGCAUGUCACUGAAUGAAAUAGAAUUCCCUUCAGGGUAGCUAAUGUAGUUGUGGUUUUGCUGGUCAUACUCUCAGUUGGUGUGGCCAACCUAACUUCAUGCUCACAUUAAUAAUUGAGAGUGUGGCAAGUUUCUCAACUGCUGCCUUUGUACAAGAAAAAAAUGUCCUGUAUGUAAUUCUUCUUAUUUUCAAAGCAAAAUACAGAUACUCAGAUAAUCUUGGUAGUUUUAAUUAAGUCACUGUUCACAAGAUGUAAAAUAUGUAAUGUCAAGCUCCUGCCCAGCACUUUUUGCCUCUCUGGGAAUAACUGUCCUGUUUGUAUUAUAACAGCUUUUUGCCAAUGUGAGAACCAAGAAAUGAGUAUACCAGCUAUGCCUGACUAUAUGUACUUCCACACACAGCUAGCAUGACUCUUUAUGCUCAGGUAGAGCAGAGGGGAGCCUUUAGCUAAUUACAGUCUGCAUUUGAAAGGAAAGCAGCUCUCUAUGUAGAAUGGUAUGUUUUAAUACUUGGUGGAUUUGUAAUGGUCAAACUGUUGUUUUGAAAUGUACAACCAAGAUGAAGCUUUGCUUUGCCUGCCAGGUAUUUCAAGGAAAUUUGUGCUAGGGAACUGAAACGUCAGUCUUCAGCUACAAAGAAAAAGAAGAAUUACUAUGGAGUAUUUCUGUAUAUCUUACACUAGCCCAAUCUAAAUUUAAAAAUAUCCUAGACAAUUUCAGGAAAACUAGUUCACAUAUAAUAAAACAAUUUUAAUGCCUUAGGGUAAAGAUUUUUCUUUCACUGAAUCAAUUUUAGACUCCCAAUGGAUUUAUAAGUCAUUCACAUAUCAAAAAUCUUAAGCUGAUUUCAAAACUCAGAAAUUCAAACAAAGUACGUAUUUAAAGUACCCACUGUUUUUCUGGCCAAUUUUUCUCUUUUCCUUGGACAACUCAUGUUUACAUUUACAACCAAUAUUCGUGAGGUGUUUUCCAUACUUGGUACUGGGGAACAGGGCGGUACAUUGUUCUUUAGCUUCAUCCUUUCACAUAGUUUGUCUGUCUGAAAACAUCUAUUUCAUCUGCUUCACGUAACUUCACCUAGUUUUGUUUUUUUUUUCCCUAAGAGCACAGCUUUGUAUUUUAUUGGGAAAACCAAAAAUACUCAGAAUGUGCAAAGAAAGAAAAUAGUUGUGAACAUGUGUGUGUGUGUGCUGUGUGGGCAUAGUCAUAAUCCAGAAAUCCUGCUGAUAAACAACGUGAAACAAAGCAUUAUUAAUAAUUCAAGAAGCUAAGCAGCAGGAAAAAAAGUCAAAGAAAUUGGUUUUUUCUCCCAGACGAACAAUAUUUAAGGAAUUUAGGUGGUGCCUCUUCAGUCAGAAGAAAUUACUGAAAUCAGCAGAAUUGAGAGUUUUGAGAUAAUUGGUCAGAAAAAGAGCUGAACAUAGUUUUGAGGAGUUGGGUUAAACACACCUGCACUUCUAAAUGCCCAGGAAACCUUUGUGAGGCUUUAAAAGAUAGGAAGUAACUUGUUACUUAAGUAAUUCAGUGUCUGCAUUUCAUUGCCUAUCUUAUAUUAAAAUGCUGUACUUAACAAAGAUUAAUCAAGAUAAUUUUCCUUUAUUUGACACUAUCUCCCUUUGCACCCUUAUUAUAGUGCCUUUUAGUUUAGACUUCAAAUAAGAUUUAAGUGCAUGAGGUGCCUUAAAAUAAUUUAAACAAAUGAAAAAAUAAAGAUGUAGACUGGUAGAAAUCAGUGGGUAUACACUGGGAAAUCCUUUUGGCAUACACGGUGCCUCAGUUCUUAACUGCUUUUUAUCCUAAAUUCCUUCUAGCUACACACAUAUGAUGCAGAAAACAUUCUUCUAGAGAAAAAUGACCAAGUGGUCAGGACGAUGGCCAGAAAUUUUGGAGGUCCUGAUUUCUAAAUUCCCCAGAGAAUUUCUGUGUGGUGUUUUGGGAGGAGAUGCAAGAUCACACAGUUUGUGUUCCAAACUGGAUGACUACAUGCCAGCUCUGAACUGGAUCCACACAUUUAUAUGGUGUCAACAGCAGUAAGCAGCAAGCUGGGGAUUUUAUGCUUCUCUGUAGCACAGGUACAAAUAUAAACAUUUAAAAAAUGUUAAAAUCAGUAACUUGAUCUUAUUUUUCAUCUACAGUCAAAUUAAUGUCUUGUUUCUUGCUUAGGAAGAACUUAGGGACUUAAAGGGAAAAAGAAAGAAUUUUAAAUAGAGCAAAAACACAGCAUCUCUUUCCACAGAAAGUGACUUUAUUAAGUACUGAAAUGAGCAAUGUCAAAUAGCCAAGCAUGCAUUUAGACCUCAGCUGCUUCUGCUGGACAAAACACAUAUGGAACAUAUCGGUGUUGGCAAUGUAAUCUGCAAGAGAAAAUCCUUUCUUCAGCUUGUGUCUGUUGCUUCCUUGUUGCAUCCGAAUGUGAGGAGCUCUUGCAUUCAUAAUCAUUCCAUGUGAUCAGUCUAGUUUCCUUCUUCCCCUGUACAGUCAUAACCCUUGGCAGCUAAGUUAUUUGAAUUUUAUUUUAAUAUUAUAUUUUAAGACUUUCUCUGCAAUAAAAUAUUUUUCUUCCAUCUUAUCAAUCUUAUUUAAUUUCCUUCUGUCUUCUUCUGUCUUCAAAUUUGUUUUUCAAUUCUAACGACUAACAGUUCUUACUCUCUUUCUGCCACCAUGGUUCCAUGGCUUUAUCUCCCUCUCUAAUUUUGAUUUGCUCUUUCACUCAGUGUUCACUCUUUUUUUUUUUCCUGUGUCUAUAUCAGUGCUAUGAAAUAUGAUAACAGCAAUCCUGAAACUUAUUAUAAGUAAAGGUUAAUGCUUUUACCAUUAUGUCCUAUUGUCCUUCUCUGCUGUCCCUUUUCAUAAAUUUUCUUCAUUCCUGCUCUUCCCCUACUAUUUUCCUAACUUUUCUGGAGUUUCUCCUGUCCUUGAGCAGUGACUUAGGAAUGCUCAGAAGCUGGAACUUCAUUGCACCUUCUUAUCUUAGAUGGAGGGGGAAAAAGCAAUUUGUACAAUGAAUUCAAGAAAAAUAUAUAGAUCCCUACAGAAAGUGGAAGUCAGAUGAGAAAAGGAAGGAUGGAAGGGCUUUUUCUGUACAAAAAGGAAUUAGAGGAGUGCCAGCUGCAACAACUUUGUUUUUGCAGCCUCCUGAUACAUGAAGUCAAAAUGUGAGACAACUAGAAAAUCUUCAAAUACUGCUUCGUUUUACUGUUAUCCCAACAGAGAUUCUCACUCCUGGUGACUCUUCUUCCAGGAGUAGGUUGCCAUAGCAAAGAACAGAACAGAAGCUGGGAAUUUCCUUCUGGUUUUUGGCAGAAAUAAAAGUGGUACUUUCCCUUUACUUCAGCUGCUGUUUACUCAGAAAGUGAGUAUAUUAACUGCAUGAAGGCUGUACAUUAACAAUUAACAUUGUGCAUAAAUAUGUUUUUCUGAAAAUUCAGAGAGUAUAGGAAAAGUUACAUUAGUGGUCAGGACCCUGAAUUUCAUGUCUGGUUUAUGCAAAAUAUAAAUGUUUCAAAGAAAUUAGGAAGUCUAUAACCUCUACUGACUCUUGUCAGUUUGUGAGAGUUGUACAAUAGAUAUUUUGUUAAGGUCUUCUGACCUGAAGUUUCAACCAUAAGCCUAUUUCUAGUAAAAGAGGUUUGAAUAUGCAUGUGAAACCAUCUAUAAAUACUGCAGUUUUUUAGCAUUUUUAGAACUAAAAAUAAAGAAAACAAAUAUGACUGUUGACUUAUGCUUCAGAAGUUGGAAUACUGGAUAAAAAAUUAAAUGGUGGAAUUGACUUCUGUUAAGAACUGUGCUGGUUAGUGCAACAUACCCAAAUCUACCAUCUCUAAGGGACAGUAACUGAUGUUAAUUGCUAAUGUGAGCAAUACAAAAAUUAGUGAGAUUAAGAAACUCCAUUACAAGCUUUAAGACAGGAUACAAUCUCACUGGCUGUUGUCUUGCAGUCCACCAGCAUCCAUGUCAAACAGCAUGAAAAACUAUGUUCUCCAUGUGCUACCAGACAUUUUUAAACCUGCUUCAAAUAAUUUGUGUUGUGUGAUUUUUCUCACAUGACUGAAAAGAAAUGCAUUUAUGUCUUGGAGUAUAACAAGUUUAAUCAACUCCUCUCUCAACCCCUGUUGUGGGCAUAUACUAAGAAUAAAUAUGAAUUCUUGUAAUUCAGAAAAGUUGCUAGGCUAAAGUAAAUAAUGUGGAUUUUGACUGCCAUUCAAUAAAAGCACUUAAUUCCUCUUUUAUACAUAUAUAUUCCUCUUUCUGUGGUAUUGUGUUGCAAUAUUUCUAACAAGACAAGCUGACACCAGCACACAGCCAAUUGGUUAUCAGCAAAAGUGUGUAUGUGUUAACUCUCCCAUUAAACCCACAAAGGUGAAGACACAACACACUGCAACUCCUACUUAGCACAUGCAGACCCAGUGUCUACCCUCAUGGACAUGAUAAAAUGAAGACAAAUAUAGGAGGAACUCAG